rnacentral:rRNA from 1 species
UUGGAGGGCAAGUCUGGUGCCAGCAGCCGCGGUAAUUCCAGCUCCAAUAGCGUAUAUUAAAGUUGUUGCAGUUAAAAAGCUCGUAGUUGAAUUUCGGGAUCAGUUGAUCGGUCGUGCCUCGGUACGUACUGGUCAAAUUGAUUCCUACCUUCUGACGAACCACGAUGUCAUUAAUUUGGUGUCGCGGGAAAUCAGGACUGUUACUUUGAAAAAAUUAGAGUGUUUAAAGCAGGCUCGCGCUUGAAUACAUUAGCAUGGAAUAAUGAAAUAGGACGUUUGAUUCUAUUUUGUUGGUUUCUAGGAUCGACGUAAUGAUUAAUAGGGAUAGUUGGGGGCAUUAGUAUUCAAUUGUCAGAGGUGAAAUUCUUGGAUUUAUUGAAGACUAACUACUGCGAAAGCAUUUGCCAAGGAUGUUUUCAUUAAUCAAGAACGAAAGUUAGGGGAUCGAAGACGAUCAGAUACCGUCGUAGUCUUAACCAUAAACUAUGCCGACUAGGGAUCGGAUGAUGUUAAUUUUUUAAUGACUCAUUCGGCGCCUUACGGGAAAC